GACGUAGGGGGCCAGCGUUGUUCGGAAUUACUGGGUGUAAAGCGCACGUAGGCGGAUUGCUAAGUCAGGGGUGAAAUCCUGGAGCUCAACUCCAGAACUGCCUUUGAUACUGGCGAUCUUGAGUCCGGGAGAGGUGAGUGGAACUGCGAGUGUAGAGGUGAAAUUCGUAGAUAUUCGCAAGAACACCAGUGGCGAAGGCGGCUCACUGGCCCGGUACUGACGCUGAGGUGCGAAAGCGUGGGGAGCAAACAGG
rnacentral:rRNA from 1 species